rnacentral:tmRNA from 1 species
GGGGGUGUUUCGGCUUCGACGGGGAUCACGAAAUCACUUGGUGCAUGCCGAGGGGGUAGCUUUCCUCGUAAAUCCAGCUGCUAACUUUUAGUUGCCAACAACGACAACUACGCUCUGGCCGCUUAAGGUCUAAGCCCCGAAACCGCUGGGUUCCUGUGCCUGCGGAGGUAGGGUCAUUAACACAGGACCGCCACGGUAGCUGCCUGUCAGCCGUGGUCAAAUUAAACAGGCUGGUUCUGUGGUGUGCUCUGCCCUUCGUGUUACCACAGAAUGAGAUCAA